UACAGAGGUCUCAAGCGUUGUUCGGAUUCAUUGGGCGUAAAGGGUGUGUAGGUGGCGCGCUAAGUCGGGUGUGAAAUUUCGGAGCUUAACUCCGAAACUGCAUUCGAUACUGGCGUGCUUGAGGACUGGAGAGGAGACUGGAAUUUACGGUGUAGCAGUGAAAUGCGUAGAUAUCGUAAGGAAGACCAGUGGCGAAGGCGGGUCUCUGGACCGGUACUGACGCUGAGGAGCGAAAGCGUGGGGAGCAAACAGG
rnacentral:rRNA from 1 species